UCUGAACUAGUGCAAUUUUUCGGAAUCAAUACUUCUUUUCUAAAGCACCACAUUUUGGCUAUAUAUAUCUGAUUUUUUUCUCAGGUAUAGUGACAAAAUUUUAAAGUGAGAACAUGCAUAUUUCUUGAAAAAUGCAAGUGUGAUAUACAAAUUGUUGAGUAUGUUCGUUGUUCGACGGAGUUUGAGGUACCGUCAUUCUGUCAGUG
rnacentral:lncRNA from 1 species